UGGUGGUGGGACUCAGGAAGCAGAGUCUGGGGGCAUCUCCACCAUGGCCUGGGCUCCACUCCUCCUCACCCAUAUAGCUCACUGCACAAGUGG
rnacentral:pre_miRNA from 1 species